UACGGGGGGGGCAAGCGUUGUUCGGAAUUACUGGGCGUAAAGGGCUCGUAGGCGGCCAACUAAGUCGAACGUGAAAUCCCUCAGCUUAACUGGGGAACUGCGUCCGAUACUGAUUGGCUUGAAUCCGGAAGAGGGAUGCGGAAUUCCAGGUGUAGCGGUGAAAUGCGUAGAUAUCUGGAGGAACACCCGUGGCGAAGGCGGCUCUCUGGGCAGUAACUGACGCUGAGGAGCGAAAGCGUGGGGAGCGAACAGG
rnacentral:rRNA from 1 species